rnacentral:misc_RNA from 1 species
UACGGAGGGUGCAAGCGUUAAUCGGAAUUACUGGGCGUAAAGCGUGUGUAGGCGGCCUAUUAAGUCGGAUGUGAAAGCCCCGGGCUUAACCUGGGAAUUGCAUUCGAAACUGGUAGGCUUGAAUUUGGUAGAGGGAAGUGGAAUUCCGGGUGUAGCGGUGAAAUGCGUAGAUAUCCGGAGGAACACCAGUGGCGAAGGCGGCUUCCUGGACCAAAAUUGACGCUGAGGCACGAAAGCGUGGGUAGCAAACAGG